UAAUACUCUUUAUUUUGUGCACAAUUGUAGGCUGUGUAACAUUACAGCUGCAUGUAAGCAGACAUACCUGGAUAACUAUCACCCAGGAAUCGUGCUCCCACAGGAAUCCAUACAGGUCAUGGAACCCCUGUGCUAAGGCAGGCCUGUCCCAGCUCCUGCAGCCCGUGCUGAGGCAGGCAGGGCUGUCCCAGUCCCUGCAGCCCGUGCUGAGGCAGGCAGGGCUGUCCCAGCUCCUGCAGCCCGUGCUAAGGCAGGGCUGUCCCAGCUCCUACAGCCCGUGCUAAGGCAGGGCUGGCUGUCCCAGCUCCUGCAGCCUGUGCUAAGGCAGGGCUGUCCCAGCUCCUACAGCCCGUGCUAAGGCAGGGCUGUCCCAGCCCUUGCAGCCUGUGCUGAGGCAGGCAGGGCUGUCCCAGCUCCUACAGCCUGUGCUAAGGCAGGGCUGUCCCAGCCCCUGCAGCCUGUGCUGAGGCAGGGCUGUCCCAGCUCCUACAGCCUGUGCUGAGGCAGGGCUGUCCCAGCCCCUGCAGCCCGUGCUAAGGCAGGACUGUCCCGGCUCCCACAGCCUGUGCUAAGGCAGGGCUGUCCCAGCCCCUGCAGCCCAUGCUGAGGCAGGGCUGUCCCAGCUCCUGCAGCCCGUGCUGAGGCAGGCAGGCCUGUCCCAGCUCCUGCAGCCCGUGCUGAGGCAGGCCUGUCCCAGCCCCUGCAGCCCGUGCUAAGGCAGGGCUGUCCCAGCUCCUGCAGCCCGUGCUAAGGCAGGCCUGGCUGUCCCAGCCCCUGCAGCCCGUGCUGAGGCAGGCAGGCCAGUAGCGGCUCCUGCAG